GUUUUGUUUAACUAUGGCAAUAAGAAGUUUUAUCGCGCCCCCGUUGCAUAAAGUUAUUGUAUGUUGAUUGUUUGGUGAUUUAGAUAAACACCAUUUCAUUAGCAACUAGUUUUUUAGUAGAACUAACGUUUUCUAAGGGGGUUGCUUUAGUUUGAAGGGGAUAGGACACAGUGCCAGCAUCUGCGGUUA
rnacentral:rRNA from 1 species